ensembl:lncRNA
CUAACACCUUGGGCCUUAAAACUGCUGGCAUGUUUUUGAGAGAUGGGAGGAAACUGGAGAACCCAGAGAAAACCCAUGCAGACACAGGCAGAAGAAAAGGACCAAAGAGAGGCCACAAAAAGAGAGAGCAAAAAAGAUUGAGAGGAGAAAAGAGAGGCAAAGAAAGCCCCCUUCUGGCUCCCUCUAACCCAUACACAUCUCCCACUGCUUUGCCCAGUUUCUCACUCUCGCUUGGCAACUGAAUGCCUCACACAAAGAAUUUCAGCUUUCGGCCAAAGACAAGGCCAGAAGGAGGCCGAACCUCCAGCAGACGGCCGG